rnacentral:rRNA from 1 species
UUACCGGCUAGAAUGGACUGAAAGUUAGCAAUACUAAGGUGCUGCAUGGCUGUCGUCAGCUCGUGCCGUGAGGUGUUGGGUUAAGUCCCGCAACGAGCGCAACCCUAUCUUAGUUGCCAACAUAUGGGACUCUAAGAAACUGCCGCCGUAAGUGGAGGAAGGAGGGGAUGAUGUCAAGUCAUCAUGGCCUUUAUGCCGGGCUACACACGUACUACAAUGGGAGACAAGGGGCAUAGCGAUAGAAGCAAUCCCAAAAUCCUCUCAGUUCAGAUUGCAGGCUGCAACUCGCCUGCAUGAAGCUGGAAUCGCUAGUAAUCGUAAUCAGCAUGUACGGUGAAUACGUUCCCGGACCUUGCACACACCGCCCGUCAAGCCAUGGGAGUCGGUGACCAAA